UAUCCUACGGGACGCAGCAGUGGGGGAUAUUGCACAAUGGGGGGAACCCUGAUGCAGCGACGCCGCGUGAACGAAGAAAUAUUUCGGUAUGUAAAGUUCUAUCAUCAGGGAAGAAAAUGACAGUACCUGACCAAGAAGCCCCGGCUAACUACGUGCCAGCAGCCGCGGUAAUACGUAGGGGGCGAGCGUUAUCCGGAUUCACUGGGCGUAAAGGGAGCGCAGGCGGCAGGGCAAGUCCGGUGUGAAAGCCAGGGGCCCAACCCC
rnacentral:rRNA from 1 species